rnacentral:misc_RNA from 1 species
AAGAACUCAAGCAGGGCGGGAAC